rnacentral:rRNA from 1 species
AUUGAACGCUGGCGGCAGGCUUAACACAUGCAAGUCGAGCGAGCGGCGGACGGGUGAGUAAUGUCUGGGAAACUGCCUGAUGGAGGGGGCUAACUACUGGAAACGGUAGCUAAUACCGCAUACCAUCAGAUGUGCCCAGAGGGGAUUAGCUAGUAGGUGGGGGAAUGGCUCACCUAGGCGACGAUCCCUACCUGGUCUGAGAGGAUGACCAGCCACACUGGGACUGAGACACGGUCCAGACUCCUACGGGAGGCAGCAGUGGGGAAUAUUGCACAAUGGGCGCAAGCCUGAUGCAGCAAUGCCGCGUGUGUGAAGAAGGUCUUCGGGUUGUAAAGCACUUUCAGCGGGGAAGCGUUACUCGCAGAGGAAGCACCGGCUAACUCCGUGCCAGCAGCCGCGGUAAUUC